GGGAAAAAGAAGGAACAAAGGAGAGACAGAGGAGACUCCUAGGAGCAGAGGCCAUGCUUACAGAGAGCAGGGUACCUGGAGACGAUUUCAACUGAAGUAAUGAAGGCAGUGUCGUGCUGUCGAGAGAAAGGUGGAUCCCAACAACAGGAAACUACCUAAAUCACCGACCAGUUCUGGUGCUGCCCGCGCGGUGCUGCCUCGCCCGCCGCCGCCGCCGCCACCGCCACCGCCGCCGCCGCCGCCAAGGAGAGAACCCUGCGAUCGCGCCCGGCCCAGCCCCUCGGCAACCUGCGCCCGCCGCUGCAACUGAUACCCCAGGCUGCCGCAAAUGCGUCACGGAGGGAGAAGCCACCGGCCCCAGUAAGACAAAGUCAAGCCCUUUUGCCAACCUGUAUGCCCAUGCCCGUAAGCCCUUCUCUUGGCCAAGGAAGAAAGGAGGAGAGAAAAAAAGACACCCAGGGGCCUGUAUCCCCUGAUUAAACACAGCCCAGCACUCCAGGCUGGCGUGCCCAGUGGCGGCUCCUUGCACCAUUGACCUCAGGCCAGACACCUCAGCGCCGACAAUGGAACCUCCGCUUUCCGGCUAGGUUUACCCCUGGCUGGGCAGGAAACCAGCUCCGCGGAGAACGGGGCCAUUUCAAGCAGUGGGACCCCAAAACAGCAAACCCAGCCCAGUUACGACUUGACACUUCGGACAAUAUCGAUCUCUAUAGAAUUUUACCAUGAUAUGGCUUUUUCCCCCAGAAAACAACAAAUAAACCAGCACCAAGCAAACAAAGAAACAAAAAGUCAGAACAAACCAGCCCUGCACAGAUGUAAUGGCCCAGGAGAUGGCGAGUGCGGGAGGGAGGCAUAGGGCUCCGGCACAGGUGCGAGUUCCUGGGCAGAGGCUGAAGACAGAGGGAGGGAACCAGAGCUCUGGAAGCAAAAAAAUAAAAAUAAAAAUAAAAGGCGUCGCCUGGAGAUUCAUCAGGAAAAAUUAAAGU